GAACUGCGAUAAGUAAUGUGAAUUGCAGAAUUCAGUGAAUCAUCGAGUCUUUGAACGCACAUUGCGCCCCCUGGCAUUCCGGGGGGCAUGCCUGUCCGAGCGUCAUUGCUGCCCAUCAAGCCCGGCUUGUGUGUUGGGUCGUCGUCCCCCCCGGGGGACGGGCCCGAAAGGCAGCGGCGGCACCGUGUCCGGUCCUCGAGCGCAUGGGGCUUUGUCACCCGCUCGACUAGGGCCGGCCGGGCGCCAGCCGACGUCUCCAACCAUUUUUCUUCAGGUUGACCUCGGAUCAGGUAGGGAUACCCGCUGAACUUAAGC
rnacentral:misc_RNA from 1 species